rnacentral:rRNA from 1 species
AGGGGCAGCACGAUGUAGCAAUACAUUGGUGGCGACCGGCGCACGGGUGAGUAACGCGUAUGCAACCUACCUAUCAGAGGGGAAUAACCCGGCGAAAGUCGGACUAAUACCGCAUAAAACAGGGGUUCCACAUGGAAAUAUUUGUUAAAGAAUUAUCGCUGAUAGAUGGGCAUGCGUUCCAUUAGAUAGUUGGUGAGGUAACGGCUCACCAAGUCCACGAUGGAUAGGGGUUCUGAGAGGAAGGUCCCCCACACUGGUACUGAGACACGGACCAGACACCUACGGGAGGCAGCAGUGAGGAAUAUUGGUCAAUGGGCGAGAGCCUGAACCAGCCAAGUCGCGUGAAGGAUGAAGGAUCUAUGGUUUGUAAACUUCUUUUAUAUGGGAAUAAAGUGAGGAACGUGUUCCUUUUUGUAUGUACCAUAUGAAUAAGCAUCGGCUAACUCCGUGCCAGCAGCCGCGGUAAUACGGAGGAUGCGAGCGUUAUCCGGAUUUAUUGGGUUUAAAGGGUGCGUAGGUGGUUAAUUAAGUCAGCGGUGAAAGUUUGUGGCUCAACCAUAAAAUUGCCGUUGAAACUGGUUGACUUGAGUAUAUUUGAGGUAGGCGGAAUGCGUGGUGUAGCGGUGAAAUGCAUAGAUAUCACGCAGAACUCCGAUUGCGAAGGCAGCUUACUAAACUAUAACUGACACUGAAGCACGAAAGCGUGGGGAUCAAACAGGAUUAGAUACCCUGGUAGUCCACGCAGUANACGAUGAUUACUAGCUGUUUGCGANACACAGUAAGCGGCACAGCGAAAGCGUUAAGUAAUCCACCUGGGGAGUACGCCGGCAACGGUGAAACUCAAAGGAAUUGACGGGGGCCCGCACAAGCGGAGGAACAUGUGGUUUAAUUCGAUGAUACGCGAGGAACCUUACCCGGGUUUGACGCAUAUUGACAGCUCUGGAAACAGAGUCUCUAGUAAUAGCAAUUUGCGAGGUGCUGCAUGGUU